GACGAAGGGGGCUAGCGUUGUUCGGAAUUACUGGGCGUAAAGAGCGCGUAGGCGGUUUGGUAAGUUGGAAGUGAAAUCCCGGGGCUUAACCUCGGAAUUGCUUUCAAAACUACCAGGCUAGAGUGUAGUAGGGGAUGAUGGAAUUCCUAGUGUAGAGGUGAAAUUCUUAGAUAUUAGGAGGAACACCGGUGGCGAAGGCGGUCAUCUGGGCUACAACUGACGCUAAGGCGCGAAAGCGUGGGGAGCAAACAGG
rnacentral:rRNA from 1 species